rnacentral:rRNA from 1 species
GUCCAUGGCCAUGCCACCCUGAACAAGCCCGAUCCCAUCUGAUCUUGGAAGCUAAGAAGGGUUGGGCCUGGUUAGUACUUGGAUGGGAGACCACCUAGGAAGACCAGAACUGUAAGCU